rnacentral:lncRNA from 1 species
UGGGAUGCAGGGUGAAGACAAAUAUGACCCUGGCCUCAUGGAGUUUAUAAUCCAGUGGGGAAGCUAGACACUAACCAAGGAGCCAGAGAAAUUCUGUGAUGACUGCCGAGCAGAAAUGCAUGUGAAGGUCUGCUCCAGGGACUCGCAGAUGAAGGCUGAUGGGCCAGGGAAGAAUGUGACGGGAUUUGCGUUCAACAGCAGCUGGACUGUGCUACCAGUGACAGGAUCCUCUGGACUUUUUGGGGUCAGGAGUGGCAGAGAGGGCCAGGCAGUUGUCUGGGCCGCAUCUCAGUGGGCUCCCAGUAACUAGCCAGACCCACAGAGUCCUGGCUUCCAGCAGCGUUCGAUCACACCAUGCAGGGUGCUGACAAUGGCUUCACAAACGUCAUGAAGGGAAGGCCUCCUUGGCACCGGUACUAUUCUGAGAGAGCAGAAGUGUUGCCAGGCAGGCCCCAGCCCAUGCACCUGGGCCAUAACGGAGAUGCCAACUGCAGAAACGCAGCACAGGCCCAGGCCAGGACUGGCCACAAAUUCAAACUGGCCUGUGCAAGGAUGUUUGCUCCAUGCCCAAUCAUCCUAGCUCUCCAACUCAAUUAGGACAGAACUGAGCAAGGAAGAGCUGUGGGGAAGUCGGGCCAUCAUCCAGCAAAAGGAGAGGGAUCUGAGGGACUGGGCUGAGAGACAUGUCUAAGACCCCGGCUGUGCAUGUGGGAUCUCCACUGAUUUUCCUGGAAAUGCCUUUUAAACAAGGGGAAAUCUUGCUUCCUAUUGAUGACAGCCUCUCUGGUAAUUCUGCGUGUGUUUACUGGAAUCACCGAUGUCAGGUGGGCAGCUCUGCCUGGCUUCCAUCGCCAGAGGACAGUCUGCGCAUCCUCCAUAAACAGGGAACCUCAGUCUCUGCUGAGACCAGACCAAGGAGGCAGUCAAGCUGGUAAAUGAUCCUGCUUAGGAGGGAAGCUGCGUCUUCAUCUAGUAUUGCACCUGACCCCACAGAGUGGCAGGUUCUUCGUUGUUUGUCGCUGUGAUACGUGAGGCUGGCUGGGAAUGAGCACUCUCACUCAUCACAGGACACUGCCAGGAGCCUGGGCGGUGAAGCGGGGAGCCUCCCCCAGCGCCAGUGGGCGGGGCAGGAGCUGGGCUCUGCUGCCCAAGGCGGGAUGGGGUUUCUGCCCCACUGGACCCUUACUUUUCU